GGCUCGUUGGUCUAGGGGUAUGAAUCUCGCUUUGGCUGUGCGAAGUCCCGGGUUCAAAUCCUGGAUGAGCCC
rnacentral:tRNA from 1 species